rnacentral:tRNA from 1 species
CAGGGAGACAACAAAAUGUUAAUAUUAUUAUUUGUCACCUUAGGUCGAUCGGUACCUCACGUUCUUAAUUUAUUAAGAAUUUUAUUUCCUAAGUUUUCUAGGUCACACCCAUUAUUUUUCCUGGGCCAUUAGCUCAGGUGGUUAGAGCGCACCCCUGAUAAGGGUGAGGUCCCUGGUUCAAGUCCAGGAUGGCCCAUAUCUCUAUGUUGGGGGUAUAGCUCAGUUGGUAGAGCGCCUGCUUUGCAAGCAGGAUGUCAGCGGUUCGAGUCCGCUUACCUCCACUGAUUACCACCUCUUCCAUGGUUUGAAAAAGGAAAUUUUUUGAGUUGUGAUCAAAAUUCUGAACGAUUCUAGCUUCCUAAUGAAUUCAUUAAGAUGCUGGACUCAUUGAUUAAUUUCAUUGUUUUCAGAGAACCUUGACAACUGCAUAGAUUAUUUUAAAGACAAUAAGCAUCUUUAAUGAUGCAGAUUUAUUAUUUGUGCGAAUGCAUUAAUAACAAUUCUAUUAAGCUGAUGCUUCA